UAAAAUGAUGAAAGACAAAAUUUAAGAACCUUCAAAUAAUGUAGGCAACACAAAAACAGAGUUGGAUUUUCCCUUUUUACUGUGAAAUUUUUUAAUUGAAUUCUAAAUGACUUCUCAUCACGACUACGUCACAAUUGAUUAUAACUCACUCGAUUUUUGUAACGAAAUCGAGCAUUUACGUUCGCAUUAUUCUGCAGUCAUAACUAAUCCGUAUGAAAAAUCUUUUGAAACAAAAAACACACUUUCUUUUUUAUGUACGCUUGUGUUAAAACCACACCCGUCAUCUUUACAACAAUGUUGGCCUUAUGGUGUCCUGUAUGAGCUAACAUAUUCGUAUAAUUUGCUACCAAAUAGUAAUUUUGUGACUCCUCAAACUUUUUGUCGUUUAUCAGCUCUCUAUGAUAACUAUUAUAUUACCGUUGAUUUAAAUUGUAAAGAAACCCUUUUAAAAAAUUCAUUUUUAAACCAUUCAAGUUUUCUUUUUUAUUCUGCAUUACAACAUGUUUCCAAUUCAACAAUAUGCGUCUAUGAAGCCCUACAACACUUUCAUAAACAAAUGGAUAAAGUGUUUGAAAUAUUUCAAAAGCAGGAACCAAAUCAAUAUUCGUUAUUUAUGGAAAAAAAUUCGUCUUUAUGUGUUGCUUCAGUUAAGUGGACUCAAGAAGAACAAAAAAGGUUAGAAGAGGCCUUAGCUUGUUAUACUUCUAUUCAGGAUAGUAAAGUGAAAUGGAAAGCAGUAUCAGAUUAUGUAUCUCAACAUUCAUCUUAUCGUUCGCCAAAACAAUGCGCUCAACAGUUUAUUGAAUGCCGUGAAUUGCUUCAAAUAAAAAAAAAAUGUGUUCUAAAAGAAACAAUAAAAGAAGAUAUUGUCAAGUGUCAAGACUCCUUAACUAAAUGUAUAAUUUUACAACAAAUGGAAAUGAAGGAUGUUUUUUUAUUAUAUAUUUCUGUAUUACGCGUUCAAGGAAUAUGUGUUAAAUGUCAUAAACCUUGCGAUAUGGAAUUAAAAUUUCAAUCAAAUAAUCCAUUGAAUACAAACGCAUCCUCCAAUUUCUUAACGAUGGGAGAACGUUCGAAAACAUGCAAAACAACAUUUUGUUCCAAAUGUUCAUCCCAACAUUUACUAACAGCAACUGUUGAACCCGUAACACAACAAGAAGCUAUUUUGGCUCGGUAUGAUACAAAAGGAUUUCGAGUUUCAAGUGUUAUGCCUUUUGAUAUUUACACGGAAUGUGGUUCUUGCUCCCAAUCCCUACUAUGUCAAAACGUUUUAGCAAGAGUUUGUCGUAAAAUUCAAUGUUCAUCGUGUUUUCGCACGUCCCAUUUCUUCUUUGAGUCCAUUCACGUAGACGAUGCAAUUCCAUGUCCCAUAUUACCAAGACAUUUUAAACAACACUCUAAAAUCAAACCGGAAGUUUUAUCCAUUAAAAUCAAUACACCCUUACCACUUAAUGGCGCGUGUCAGCAUUAUAAAAAAUCAUUUCGUUGGUUACGCUUUCCUUGUUGUGGAAAGGUAUUUCCGUGCGAUUUAUGUCAUAAUGCAAAUACAGAUCAUAAAUGUGAAUGGGCGAACCGGAUGAUUUGUGGUCACUGUAGUCGAGAGCAACAGUACUCCAAUAAACCAUGUGUUUGUGGGGGAAGUUUACAACAAGGAAAAUCUUCUCAUUGGGAGGGAGGGAAAGGAUGUCGAAACACUGUUUUAAUGAAUCGUCACGAUUCUAAAAAGUAUAAAGGGUUAACAAAAACAAAACCUAAGCCCUAAAUUAUAAUAAUGAGAGGGCACCUUUGAACUAAUUGCAGAAUGAUUGGGUGUUUGAUGCAUGAAAAGAUAACCAUGCAAAUGAAACUGUGUCAACAGAUAUCAAACGUUUCGAUGCAACUCAAAUAAACUCUGAAUCCUGUGUAUUCAUUUUUUAACUCCAAUCAAUUGUAAAACAACAUAAAAGGUUGGCGAUUGUCCUGGUUUCUUGAGUUUGUUAAAUCAUACGUUUCAAGUAUAAAAAAACUUUUUUUUAGUCUCAGACCUUUUCUAGCAAAAAUAUAUUUUUUUAAACAAUACUAU